rnacentral:rRNA from 1 species
AACAAACGCUGGCGGCGUGCCUAACACAUGCAAGUCGUACGAGAAAGGGUCCUUCGGGGCCUGAGUAAAGUGGCGCACGGGUGAGUAACGCGUGGAUAAUCUGCCCUUCAGUUGGGAAUAACUCAUCGAAAGGUGGGCUAAUACCGAAUAAUGCUGUGAGACCUCGGUUGAUCAGCCAAAGAGAGCCUCUGCUUGCAAGCCCUCGCUGAAGGAUGAGUCCGCGUACCAUUAGCUAGUUGGUAGGGUAAUGGCCUACCAAGGCGACGAUGGUUAGCGGGUCUGAGAGGAUGAUCAGCCACACUGGAACUGAGACACGGUCCAGACUCCUACGGGAGGUAGCAGUGAGGAAUCUUGCGCAAUGGGUGCAACCCUGACGCAGCAACGCCGCGUGAGUGAGGAAGGUCUUCGGAUCGUAAAGCUCUGUCGGAUGGAAAGAACCGCAUAGGGGUAAACAGCCCCUGUGUCUGACGGUACCAUCAAAGGAAGCACCGGCUAACUCCGUGCCAGCCGCCGCCGUAAGAC